rnacentral:rRNA from 1 species
AUUGAACGCUGGCGGCAUGCCUUACACAUGCAAGUCGAACGGCAGCACGGGUGCUUGCACCUGGUGGCGAGUGGCGAACGGGUGAGUAAUACAUCGGAACAUGUCCUGUAGUGGGGGAUAGCCCGGCGAAAGCCGGAUUAAUACCGCAUACGAUCUACGGAUGAAAGCGGGGGACCUUCGGGCCUCGCGCUAUAGGGUUGGCCGAUAGCUGAUUAGCUAGUUGGUGGGGUAAAGGCCUACCAAGGCGACGAUCAGUAGCUGGUCUGAGAGGACGACCAGCCACACUGGGACUGAGACACGGCCCAGACUCCUACGGGAGGCAGCAGUGGGGAAUUUUGGACAAUGGGCGAAAGCCUGAUCCAGCAAUGCCGCGUGUGUGAAGAAGGCCUUCGGGUUGUAAAGCACUUUUGUCCGGAAAGAAAUCCUUGGCUCUAAUACAGUCGGGGGAUGACGAUACCGGAAGAAUAAGCACCGGCUAACUACGUG